UAAUAAAGCAGAUCGCAUGAUCAGCUUUUGAAAGGCGGCGUAAGCUGUCGCUAAGGGAUGGCCCCGCGGUGCAUUAGCUAGUUGGUAAGGUAACGGCUUACCAAGGCGACGAUGCAUAGCCGAGUUGAGAGACUGAUCGGCCACAUUGGGACUGAGACACGGCCCAAACUCCUACGGGAGGCAGCAGUAGGGAAUCUUCCACAAUGGACGCAAGUCUGAUGGAGCAACGCCGCGUGAGUGAAGAAGGUUUUCGGAUCGUAAAGCUCUGUUGUUGGUGAAGAAGGAUAGAGGUAGUAACUGGCCUUUAUUUGACGGUAAUCAACCAGAAAGUCACGGCUAACUACGUGCCAGCAGCCGCGGUAAUACGUAGGUGGCAAGCGUUGUCCGGAUUUAUUGGGCGUAAAGCGAGCGCAGGCGGAAAAAUAAGUCUAAUGUGAAAGCCCUCGGCUUAACCGAGGAACUGCAUCGGAAACUGUUUUUCUUGAGUGCAGAAGAGGAGAGUGGACUCCAUGUGUAGCGGUGGAAUGCGUAGAUAUAUGGAAGA
rnacentral:rRNA from 1 species